CCUUCGGGUUGUAAAGCUCUUUUGUCAGGGAAGAAACGGCCUGUUCUAAUACGGUGGGCUAAUGACGGUACCUGAAGAAUAAGCACCGGCUAACUACGUGC
rnacentral:rRNA from 1 species